rnacentral:lncRNA from 1 species
UGGCAAUCAAAGAAAGAGAGAACAACCUCCCUCCAGCACCUGCUAAGGGCGAAGGGGACUGUGUACGGAAUAAAUGCGGUGCCUCGGCUUGACACUUCUGACAGGGUCAAGUUUUCCCUGCACCAUAAUGAGGUCUUGUUAGGAAAGUGGGAGCGGUAUCCUAAGAAGAAAAUAAGCCCAACAUACUUCUGGCCCAAGGAACCUCUUAGAGACUGUCUCUUUGGUACAGCACUAAGUUCUUGUAUGGAUAGAAAAGGCCUCCAGACUCAUCCCUUCUUCUGUUCAGUCUCAGACCAAACAGCUGUUAUUCCAGGAAGGUGAAUUCCUCAUUAAGUCAGGCAAGUUGAAAAUAUGUUCUCUCCUGAAACCACUAAUCCU